rnacentral:lncRNA from 1 species
CUGCCUUUUAAGGGCAAUUGGGCCAAACUAGAGACCGUUGGAAUCGCUUGUCCUUGUUACACACAGUGGAAUCCUGGUUAAACAUGACGCUCAACUGAAAGUUACUAGCUGGAUUUCUUUAAGGGGAAAGAGAUGCCCACAAGAAAGCUUGCUGAUAUUAGGCAGCACUGUAGGAGAAAAUCGCUACCACCACCUUUUUCCAGGGCUCAUGCUGAACAGCUCAAAAGGCAUCUUAGCAUAAACUAGAAAAAGGUGCCCCUUUCUCGGGCAGACACACCCCAUGCUGGAGCCCAUAGCUUGGCAAAGUACAAGCUGGACUUAAGCUCCACGCACCCUCACAGCUGGGUGUGCCUUGGACGAGGUAUAACCUGCACAACUGCAUGAGGUGGUCUUGUUGUUGAGAGGCUGGGUGUUAAAGGUGAGGCAAUGAUUAUUUAAAUGCAGAUGACGUGGCGGGAUGAUGUUUCCAGGGAAACAGGUCUCCUUGGAGAAGAGGCUGAUUUCAGGUCUGACACACGUCCAGAGUACUGAAAGUACGAGAUAAGCCUAAGAUAUCUUGGGCCAAAAACGCCAAGAAGUGCUCAAAGCUAAACAAGGACAAGUUCAAUGAAGACAGAAGCUGGUCUGAAGGGUUCCUGGCCAAUCUGUGAACGAUUUUAAAUAUCAGAAAGAAUGACAUCGAUGGAUUAAAACACAUGGUUUCCAGGAAAGCAGCAACUGCUGUAGAAUAGAACCACAGCUAGGAGUAUAAUUAUUGUGUAUAGUGGUGUAAUUAUGAUGAUGCUGCUGAGGAAACGCAAGAGUUACUGCUUUGGAAGUCCCCCUAACCACAGGAGCCACCAAUGUUAAAAUGCAUUCCUUCUGGAAAAGUCAAAUGAGCUUUGUCUAUUUCACUAUCCCUUGCAUAGAUCUGUAUACUUCAGUAAAAUGUGAUGUUUAUUGAAAAUACAAAUAUAAUU